CACCCCUGGUCCCUGCCCCGUGCCCCUGACGCCGGUCACCGGCUGGGUGCCCCGUUCCCGCCGGCUCCCGCGGCCCCACCAUGCCGUCCAACAAAUCCGUCUCGGACGCGCCCAUCGUCCAGUUCACCAACUGCCGCAUCCUGAGGAGCCACCAGCUCCAGAGGGAGGACCUGUGGGUGCGAGACGGGAAGAUCCUCAACCCGGAGAAACUCUUCUUUGAUGAGAAGGGCUCUGCUGACAUCCAGCUGGACUGCAAGGACAGCAUCAUCACCCCGGGCUUCAUCGACGUCCAGAUCAAUGGAGGCUUUGGGGUGGACUUUUCCCUGGCUACAGAUGACUUCAAAUCAGGGAUUGACCUGGUCAGUCAGAAAAUCCUGUCCCAUGGAGUGACCUCCUUCUGUCCCACCCUGGUGACCUCUCCUCCAUCUGUAUACCACCAGGUUCUCCCUCAGAUCAGUAUAAGAAAUGGUGGAGUCCACGGAGCAGGUAUCCUGGGGGCCCAUCUGGAAGGACCGUUCAUCAGCAAGGAGAAGAAAGGGGCGCACCCAGAGCACUGCCUCCGCACCUUCGAGGCAGGUGCUUUCCAGGACCUUCUUGCCACCUACGGGUCCCUGGACUGUGUCCGGAUAGUCACCCUGGCCCCAGAGAUGAAGAGGAGCAGUGAGGUGAUCCAGGAACUCACCAAGCGGGGCAUCUGUGUCUCACUCGGUCACUCGGUGGCUAAUCUCUCCCAGGCUGAGGAGGCUGUGCAGCACGGUGCUACCUUCAUCACUCACCUAUUCAAUGCCAUGUUGCCGUUCCACCACCGUGACCCUGGGAUCGUGGGGCUGCUGACAAGUGACAAGAUUCCUGCUGGGCGGAGGGUCUUUUACGGCAUGAUCUCUGACGGCAUCCACACCAACCCUGCUGCCCUGCGAAUCGCCCACCGAGCCCACCCCAAAGGCCUGGUGCUGGUGACAGAUGCAAUUGCUGGCAUGGGGCUGGCACCAGGUCGGCACACGCUGGGUCAGCAGGUGGUGGAGAUCGAUGGGCUGAACACCUACAUUGCAGGCACAAAGACCCUGAGCGGUAGUGUGGCGACCAUGGACACGUGUGUGCGACACUUCCAAGAAGCCACAGGUAAGUAAGCCUUGUCCACAAGCUGUUGCUCCCUAUGUUGACACGGGAAGAGGUCUCGCUCUUGCCAGCUGUGUCCACUCCACCAGGGACCGUUCCCUCUCGCCUGAGACAUGAUGAGAAGCGCUGGCAUCAGUGGCACUGGCCUCAGAUGAGCACCUUUUUGAGGGGAGGUUUCAUUUUAACCCACAGCACUAAUGAGAGUUGAACUCUCCUGCUCCUUCCUCACAAAGGGUGCUCGGUAGAGACCGCGUUGGAGGCAGCAUCUCUGCAUCCCGCCCAGCUCCUGGGGAUUGAACACAAAAAAGGGACACUAAAUU